UAGUUCCGGGCUGCCACCCGGCGGCCAAAGGCACGGACGCGAGAUGGCGCCCGAGCAUCGCGGUGGGUUCCGCGCCUCCGGGGUCGUUUCCCCCACUGCCCCCAGGCCGAGCGCUGCCGGCGUAGGAGAGGCCGCGGAGGCCUGAAAGAGACAGAGCACAAGUGGGGGAGGAGCAGAGACAGAGAGGGAGACAGAGAGAAUCCCAAGCAGACUCCGCACCACUUCCAGUGCAGAACCCGAUGCGGGGCUCAGACUCAUGAAACCCGGAGACCUGAGCGGAAACCACCAGUCACGCUUAACCAACUGAGCCACCCAGGACUGCUGAAAGGGCAGCCUGGGUGAGACGCAUGGUUGGCUGGAGGAUGACAGGCAGCCCCACUGUUUGCUCAGAAGGGUGGACCAGCGAGGUGGAUCAAGAAUCAGGCGAGCCUCUCUGGACCCCACCUGGGACCCUAGGCAUGUCACCUACACACAGGUACACAUGGUUCUUCUAGAGAGCAUGUUGGGGGUGAAUUCUGUCAAUGUGUAGGUGACAUGUAUCAUUAACAUAUCAAAGUGGGAAGGGGGCACUUAGGGAUUUCCUAGUCUAAUCCCUUUGUUUUACAGAAAGAAACAGAGACUUGAAGUGAGGUGAGUUAUAAGUGGCAAAGCCAGGGCUAGAUCCCAAGUUUCUUGUCCCUUGAUACUCUAGGAGUAGAAUAGUGCUGGGGUCCCACUGGGGUCUAGGUGAGAAAUGCCCUUAAAAUGGGGCAUGAGUUCUCAAGUGGUGCCAGCUCCUACCUCUGAGUCUGCUUUGAAGGAAGGAGUUGCAUAUCCACCCCCCGCCCCCAACCGAAGUAGUGUGUUUAUGGGGCAGAGGAUAUGAUCUUGGGAAGAGAAGACAGAAGUGACAAAAAUGGAGUAACUUACUCUGUUUGAACAGUAAAGAGCAAAAGGAACCUGGAUGCAGAAGGGGAGGGCCCAUCGAGGGUCCUUCUUCCUUGACAGGGAGGGACUGGCUUGGAAGAUCAGGCUGUCUUGCACUGUAGCAAGAGGAAGAUUCUUGGGGCCCACAGUGUGCUCGAGAACAAUCAUCAAGUGUCCAAACAGAGCCUUAGCUUCCAGAACAGGCUUGGUCCUGUCCAGAUAGGCGUCGGCAGCUCCCACUUCCUCAUGGGUAACUCGCUUCAGCUGUCCCAACAGAGCCAAGCACCUGCUGCCCGGCGUAGACUUGUCCCCCACCCCAACCUGCCUGACGGGCGCAGGGGCAGCUAACAUUUACCCAGGCCCUGCCCUAGGUAGUGAGGGAGAUAACACUGGUCUCCCCUCUUCUCUCCCCCAUUCCUCUUCCGGCCCCACCCCACCACUACCCUCCCACCCCGCCAGUCCUCCAAAACGGGGCCUGCCUAAAGACACCUGGUGGUUGCUAUGAGGAGGCCGGAAGGGCUAAGAGAGGCCAAACUCCGUGUGUAACCAGAGAAGAAUCAGACUUAGAGGCACACAGCUUUAUCAUAAAAGUGAAAAUAAUAUGAAAAUGUUUUUUUUUUUUUUUUUCAUUUCUAAGUACAAAGCCAGAUACUAUUAAGACUGUGAAAAACUGGCCAGAGGCCGUAAAGGACAAGAAGAAGACUUUCUUUGGCCUGGUGCCCUGUGACCCAGUGCACUGCUGUCUGGGAGUGGCGUGGGGCGGGGUACAACAGCAGAAGACAGGCUGGUUGUGGCGUGCGGGAGGAAGGCCCCAUCGGCGGGACCGCUCUCUGCUCCUCAGAGCCUCCAGAACUGGGAACUGAGGUUACUCUUGGCCUUUAAGGGCCACUGGUUCUCUGGCCUAGCGGACCCCAGGAAUGAAGAGGGGCAGGGGUGAGGCACAUGGGAGUGGGUGAGGGAGGAAGCAUGAGCCUUUCUUCACUGGGUUUAUUCCCUGGCUGCAAGUGAGUGUUUCAGGCAGCAGCUGGGAAUGAGGCAAGGUGCUCUGGCCCCCAAAGGCACUUUCAGUCUCUGUCACAUCCCCGUUAUAGAGAAGAUCUUGAGCCCUUGGAAAGGUGGACAUGUCUGAGACUUAAGGCCAUAGGAGCUGAGGCUGUAGUGAUGGAAUCUCGGGGCCACUGGGGAGGAGCUAAAAGGAACGUGGACAAGCUGACAGGAAUGAAGGGCGCUCGUCCCAGGAGCCAUGUUCAGGCGCCUCUAUUUGUGUCUAGGGGGCCAUGAGCAUGUGUGAGGGCUCAGGCCUCGCCCUCCUCCCCACUGCCAUCCACACUGGCCUGCCUCACCACCUUCCGGAGCCUGGGUGUGGAGGAACGGCCGGCCUCUGCCUGCUCCUGCAAGGCCCGGGUCCGGCUGGCCACCAGGGCGGCGCUGUUGAGGGCAACCACAGACUGGUGGGACUUCAGGGCAGGCCAAGGCCCCUUGGGACCCGGCUCGCCUCCCUUGGCCUUUGAGAGCUGAGGGAAGGGCACCGGAGGGUCUUCUUCUGAAGAGUCGUUUGAAGAAAACACCUAGAAGGGUCAGAGUGCAAGAAGAAUCACUGAGAAGUCUUUCCAGGGCAGAGUUAUUGAGCACAAAGCCUGGGAAGGGGUAGGUGUGGAAUGUUAAGUGAAUGUAGAAAAUCUGAGCUACUCAUGGUCGUAUUUCCAUAGGAGGGAAGAUAGCAGCCCCGCCCCACUGCCCUGCUCCUUGGCCCCCACCGGUCUUCCUUCUGGCCCCAGAAGCCCUCCUGAGCUCCCCUGCACCUGCCAUAUCCUUGAGGCCCCCUCCUCCUCCUCUUGCCCCCCUGCCUUUGUGCAGUCAGUCCUGAGAGCUGCAGGUGAAACACCUUCCGGGUACCGAGUGAAGACACUACCUUUAGGAACACCCACGCUCGCUCACCCAUCAACCAUCCAUACCCAGUGCCACCUCCUCCAGGAAGCCUCUCCCAAAUGUUCCCGCCCUCUGUAAGGAGCUCUCUCUCCUCAGGUCAGCCAUCUUGGCCUCCAGUCCCGUGGUGGGUCUGGCUUCCUAAGGCAAAGGCUAGUCUCUGGUCUUCUGCUUGUGCCCUGCAGCACUUAGCACAGAGGAUGCUCAACUGCCCAGCCCGUAUUUGGUCACGUGAGUGCCAUGACCCCUCUGUACCCCAUCCUCUGGUGGGUUCCCCUCAGAUUUGGGAGGGGCCGCAGAGCAUCUUCUCCACCUCGUCUGGGGUUGGCAGUUGGGUGUCCAGCUCUUGGCCUGGGGAGGAUGCUCGUGCCAUGGCUGGGCAGCCCUGCCCCUCAGGAAGCAAGUCCUUUCAUCGGGCUGAGAGUUGUCUGCAGCCUUCACCCCGGGGCUGGCUCGGCUGAGAAGCCCACGCAGGUGCCUCCGGCCCCAUGGCUGCUCUGCAGCUCCCACGGAGGGCAGUGCUCACCGACCGCCUGCGAGGUCUCCUUGGCUGCUUUGAGGGGACAGAAGUGAGCUGCCCAGGGAAUGGUCCCCAUGGGAAGUUGGGCCCCGGUCCUGGUCUCUCUCCUUCCUCCUGCCAUCUGCCCCUCCUACUUCUGUCCCCUGAUGUGCCUCAGUCUGGGCUCCUUCCCUAGCUCCAGCCUCACCUCUGGCAGAUCACUGGCCCCUGAAAUGCUUUCCAGCUCCGAGGAAGGCUCCAGGAGGCUGAUGGACCUCAUGACCCCUCGGAGGUUGAUACGGGGCCGUGGCCCAGGCUCCUCUUUCAGGGCUGACCGGCUCUCCUCCAAACCCAUAGCCUUCGCCUCCCCACUGCCCCCUGGUUCCGGCGGAAGAGGCGGGAAUGGUGUAGACAUCUCCGGGGCGAGGGGCUCCUCUGGGGAAGCCCCACCCACUUUCUGCUCCCAGAUGUGGCUCUGCCGGCUGGAAAGAGGUGGGCCUCAGUCAGCCUUGAGUGACCCAGCAGCCACGCCCAGCGCCCACACCCACCUGCUCCCGGGCCCCGGCUCGUACCUGGCGGUCAAGAUGCCCUGGUAGGUCUGCAGCUGGCGCAGAAAGCCGGGGUUGGGGCGGGCGAUGGGCCGGAGCUCCUGCACGUGGCGCAGAGCCUGCUCCAGACUCCAGCCAUACUGCUUCAUGGCAUAAGCUAUCACCGUGGCAGCUGAGCGGCUGACGCCCAUCUUGCAGUGGACUAGCACCCGAGUGCCCUGUGCUCUGUGGAGGCAGAACACGGUCAGCACCCCCCCCUUCCCCGCCCCAUCGCUGUGAGGGGCCCUGCGGUGUGGGAGAAGGACAGGGAGUGCUCCGCCCAGAGCCCAGAGCAGAGGAGGGAGUCGAGACCCUGAGGGCCGGGAGAGGUCCUGAGCCGGAGGGAAGAGGCAAGGGGACCGCUUGAAGCUGGGGCAGGCGGAGCCCCACCUCGCGGCCUCCACGAAGCCGUGUGUCUCCUUCCAGUGGGGUAGCAGCUGGGCUGACUCCUCAUCCCAGAGGCGCACGUUGUGGUAGAUGAAGCGAUCGGGGUAGAAGUUGUCAAUCUCGCGGGCCACGUUCAAGAUGUGGCUGACCCUGUAGCAGAGGGUAUGCGGCCCGGCUGACGUUGCCAGGGGCACCAGGCCCAUUGGCCAGCAGACCCGGCCGACCCUGCUGGUUCUGUUUAGUCCUUGGUUCUGAGAGUCGGGUGGGGACGGUGCAGUUGUGAGGGGAGGAGAAGAUGGCCGUGACCCUGAGCGAAUCGUGCCGCCCCACCGGGGUUUGAGUUUCCCCCUCUGGUCCAGGUAGCUGCUGGGCUGACUGAAGCACUAAGCCUACUAGUCUCAGAAGCCAGUGGGAGGACAGCUUUGAUCUAAGCUGAGACCGGGUGGAUCUGCAGCAGCUGGGUGACGGUGACGGGGGCCACAGUAGGUUUCCUGAGAGCCCGUGGGGGACAAAUGGCAGGAACCAAGGAGGGCAGGCAGCCAGCCCCCCUGCCUGUCUCUGUGAGACGUGGUCAGGUGGAGAGGGGCUUUUCCGCUUGGGAAAGGCCCUCGGGGCGCCCACCCCACUGCCGCCCCUCUUCUCUGUGUCACUGCGGCCUUCCAUAUGGGGCUUGCUUUACAGAGUGGGGAGGAAGCGGCCCAGGGGAGCUGCCAGCAGGCCCCCAAGACCUUGCCGGGGGGGGGGGGGGAAGGGGGUCGGAGGCAGAGCUAGCAGCUGCUCGGCGGGGGGGGGGGGAUCUGGGGGUUUCUGGCCAGGUUGCCCCUUGGGGUGAGGCCAGGGGAAGGGGAAGACACAGGGUAGGUGGUCCUGAGGGCCCAGAGCCCUACCUGUUCCUCUGGAGCUCCUCCAGGUUUGCCGCAUUCCACUCUGAGCCCUGAGGAGGGACAGAAGCUUCACCCUCCGUCUCCCCCACCUGCGGCGCCCUCAAGCCGCCCUCACCCUGCUGCUCACCAGGUAGAGGUGGGGGAAGAUGCGGGAGGCUCGGUCUUGCUGGGCCAUGAGCAGCAGCAUCUGGUUAUCAAUGAAGUCGCGGUACUGUUGGAGAGGACGGCCCAGGCGCAACUCCAGGGCCUGGCGGAUCUGCAGGCGGAGCCAAAGGGGGGGAGAGGCUGGGGUUGGGGGUGCCUUGCAAGAGUCCUGAUGCUCCGCCCUUCCCUCCGGGGCCUCAGAGGACAGCACCUGUCCAUCUAGACAGAGGAGCUGAAGCCAGGCGUGGGGGACUGGCUCAGGACUGGGGGAAAGCUCUGCCCCCGUGGGAGGAUUCCCCACCCCUACCCCCACCCCCACCCCCACCCCCGGCCCGGGGCCCAGCUCUCUCCUGGCCCCUGCUCCUCCCCAGCACCAGCCCAGCUUUUAUUAUUUUUUUUGAGUAAGCUCUACACAAGACGUGGGGGCUUGAACUCAUGACCCCGAUGUCAAGAGUUGCAUGCAGCACCGACUGAGCCAGACACGGAACCCCCCGGCCCACCUCUUUGGAAGUGACGCUCUCCAGGUCGCUGGUGUCCAGCACCUCCCACAGCUCAGCCCGGAUCGCCUGCUCCAUCCGCUCCUGCUCUGAGGGCCUGGGAGCCGAGCCCGUCAGUCCAAGAACCCCUUCCCGGCUCCCCCAUGGCACCCUCUCCUCUCCUCCCCUGCCUGCACUGACCGGCCAGGCUCGGCGCUGGGAGGCCGCAGGGAUUCCAGGUCGGCCAUGGCCAUCCACUCGUUGAGGCAGCUCUGGUCAGAGCUCAGUCUGUCCUGGUAGUAUCCAGCCCAGACCCUCCAACCGGCUCUGAGAAGAGGAGGCCGGCCGGAGACCGGGGCCGCCCUAACCCUUACCACAUGGUCUGGAUGGAGAUGGGCUUGAAGAUUCGGCUCUGCCCACCGGACGUCACACUGAAGCCCCUGAGGGAGACCAGGUACACCUGGGUGUCACUCCAGAGAGGCAAGACCAGGCCCAGGGUGCAGCUCGGGGAGCUGGCAGGGGACAGAAGAAAAGCCAUUGUUCCCCAGCAUCUCACUUCCUUGCCCCCCUCCCUUCCUCUCCCUGCUCGCACCUGCUGUCGGGGAAAUCCACUCCCAAGAGGACUGUCUCAUCCUGGCUCUGAUGUUCUCUUGUGGAAACUACCAGCAGGUUCCACAUUGGUAGUUAUAACCCAGUGGCUGCCAACUUUGGGAUUCCAUGGUCCAACAGAAUGUUUAAGAAGACUUUUCGUGGGGCACCUGGGUGGCUCAGUCGGUUAAGCGUCCGACUUCGGCUCAGGUCAUGAUCUCACGGUCCGUGAGUUCGAGCCCCGCGUCAGGCUCUGGGCUGACAGCUCCGAGCCUGGAGCCUGUUUCAGAUUCUGUGUCUCCCUCUCUCUGGCCCUCCCCCAUUCAUGCUCUGUCUCUCUCUGUCUCAAAAAUAAAUAAAACAUUAAAAAA